UACAGAGGUCCCAAGCGUUGUUCGGAUUCACUGGGCGUAAAGGGUGCGUAGGUGGCGGGGUAAGUCGGAUGGGAAAUCUCCGAGCUCAACUCGGAAAUGGCAUUGGAAACUACCUUGCUCGAGGGUUGGAGGGGGGACUGGAAUUCCCGGUGUAGCGGUGAAAUGCGCAGAUAUCGGGAGGAACACCAAUGGCGAAGGCAGCUCGCUGGGACGGUACUGACGCUGAGACGCGAAAGCGUGGGGAGCAAACAGG
rnacentral:rRNA from 1 species